UUUCUCUUCUUCUUCUCUCUAUACGUUGGUGUUCUAACCAAUAAUCACCGAUGCGAUGUUCUGUCCGAUCGAUUCAGGAACCAUCUAACGAAUGCCGAAGUGUUGUGCUUUGUGAAUUUCGUUAAACGGAAUCCAAAGUACUAUACUUUGUGAGUUCAUUAAAUGGAUACCAAAGUACUGUCUGAAUAAGACUAUACUUUGUGAAAUUCGUUAAGGUUCGAAUCUCGUGACUACCGUUAAGGUUUGAUUUGGGUUUUACACAAAUACGUAUUCCAUUCUGUUAAACUAUAUGUUUAACUACCGAAAAUACUUCCCACUACACACUCACAAUCAAACAAACUAUUAAAUCAUCAGAAGAUCCAGAAUAAUAAAGUGCAUGCCUAAUUAUCAGAAGAAGUAGAAUCAAGAAGCUUGUUAACUCAAUCUUGCAUGCUUAUAAAUUAUUUUCAAAGUUAUAGUUACAGUGAUUAAGUCUACGUAAUCACCAAGUUAC
rnacentral:lncRNA from 1 species